ensembl:snRNA U6 U6 spliceosomal RNA
GUCCCUUUCCUAGAACAUAUAUUAAAUUGGAACAAUACAGAGAAUGUUGGCAUGACUACUGUAAAAAGACGAGAGGCAAAUUUAUGAAACAUUUCUUACCUAA